rnacentral:rRNA from 1 species
AUUGAACGCUGGCGGCAUGCUUUACACAUGCAAGUCGAACGGCAGCGCGGGGCAACCUGGCGGCGAGUGGCGAACGGGUGAGUAAUAUAUCGGAACGUACCCAAGAGUGGGGGAUAACGUAGCGAAAGUUACGCUAAUACCGCAUACGAUCUAAGGAUGAAAGUGGGGGAUCGCAAGACCUCAUGCUCCUGGAGCGGCCGAUAUCUGAUUAGCUAGUUGGUGAGGUAAAGGCUCACCAAGGCGACGAUCAGUAGCUGGUCUGAGAGGACGACCAGCCACACUGGAACUGAGACACGGUCCAGACUCCUACGGGAGGCAGCAGUGUGGAAUUUUGGACAAUGGGCGCAAGCCUGAUCCAGCAAUGCCGCGUGAGUGAAGAAGGCCUUCGGGUUGUAAAGCUCUUUUGUCAGGGAAGAAACGGUAGAGGCUAAUAUCCUUUGCUAAUGACGGUACCUGAAGAAUAAGCACCGGCUAACUACGUG